UAUAACUGGUUGGACACAUCAGCAUGGUCUCGACGAGUCAUUCCCUCACCUAUAGCACUCUUCAUCAGCCGUGAGAGCGAUGGGAGCACAUUAAUAGGCGGGUAUAUCUGCCGAUUGUAAAGUUGCCUAUCAAUGUAUAUCUGACCCUCCCAGUAAGAUCUGGAGUUGGGUGUGUGAUAUCAUCAUUAGGCAUAGUUAAGAUUGGAAU
rnacentral:misc_RNA from 1 species